GUAGGCUGAAACUCGCCUACAUGAAGCUGGAAUUGCUAGUAAUCACAGGUCAGCAUACUGUGGUGAAUACGUUCCCGGGCCUUGUACACACCGCCCGUCACACCAUGAGAGUUGAGAAUACCCGAAGCCCAUGUCAAAGUGGUCGAAGGUAGGCUUGAUGAUUGGGGUGAAGUCGUAACAAGGUAGC
rnacentral:rRNA from 1 species